rnacentral:rRNA from 1 species
CAGAGGUCUCAAGCGUUGUUCGGAAUCACUGGGCGUAAAGGGUGCGCAGGCGGAACGCCAAGUCAGAUGUGAAAGACCGGGGCUCAACCCCGGAACGGCAUCCGAUACUGGCGAUCUAGAGGGCUCGAGGGGAGUGUGGAAUUCACGGUGUAGCAGUGAAAUGCGUAGAUAUCGUGAGGAACACCAGUGGCGAAGGCGACACUCUGGAGAGCAACUGACGCUGAGGCACGAAGGCCAGGGGAGCGAACGGGAUUAGAUACCCCGGUAGUCCUGGCAGUAAACGGUGUGCGUUUGGUAUGGGGGGGUUCGACCCCUUCCGUGCCGGAGCUAACGCGUUAAACGCACCGCCUGGGAAGUACGGUCGCAAGAUUA